rnacentral:piRNA from 1 species
UGGUGCGAAUAUUUUGUUCCA